UACGUAGGGUCCGAGCGUUGUCCGGAAUUACUGGGCGUAAAGAGCUCGUAGGUGGUUUGUCGCGUUGUUCGUGAAAACUCACAGCUCAACUGUGGGCGUGCGGGCGAUACGGGCAGACUGGAGUACUGCAGGGGAGACUGGAAUUCCUGGUGUAGCGGUGGAAUGCGCAGAUAUCAGGAGGAACACCAGCGGCGAAGGCGGCGCUCUGGGCUGGCACUGACACUGAGGAGCGAAAGCGUGGGGAGCGAACAGG
rnacentral:rRNA from 1 species